rnacentral:rRNA from 1 species
UACGUAGGGGGCAAGCGUUGUCCGGAAUCAUUGGGCGUAGAGCGCGUGUAGGCGGUCCGAUAAGUCGGUUGUGAAAGUCAAGGGCUCAACCCUUGAAUGCCGACCGAUACUGUCGGGCUAGAGUCCGGAAGAGGAGAGUGGAAUUCCUGGUGUAGCGGUGAAAUGCGCAGAUAUCAGGAAGAACACCCGUGGCGAAGGCGGCUCUCUGGGACGGUACUGACGCUGAGACGCGAAAGCGUGGGGAGCGAACAGG